UGGGGAAUUUUCCGCAAUGGGCGAAAGCCUGACGGAGCAAUACCGCGUGAGGGAGGAAGGCUCUUGGGUUGUAAACCUCUUUUCUCAGGGAAUAAAAAAAUGAAGGUACCUGAGGAAUAAGCAUCGGCUAACUCCGUGCCAGCAGCCGCGGUAAUACGGAGGAUGCAAGCGUUAUCCGGAAUGAUUGGGCGUAAAGCGUCCGCAGGUGGCACUGUAAGUCUGCUGUUAAAGAGCAAGGCUCAACCUUGUAAAGGCAGUGGAAACUACAGAGCUAGAGUACGUUCGGGGCAGAGGGAAUUCCUGGUGUAGCGGUGAAAUGCGUAGAGAGCAGGAAGAACACCGGUGGCGAAAGCGCUCUGCUAGGCCGUAACUGACACUGAGGGACGAAAGCUAGGGGAGCGAAUGGG
rnacentral:rRNA from 1 species